rnacentral:lncRNA from 1 species
ACAGUCGGAGGCGGCAGAGACGGUGGCGGGUGAGCUAGGGGCUGUGAGACGAAGCAGGGAGAGAGUGAACUUCAGCCCCGUCCCCUCCCCACUGCCACGGCUGGGGCAACCCAACCCGCGCCUGAAGCGGCUUGGCUUGACCUGCGGAAGCGCGGGCCGGGAUGGCGUGGGGAGAGGGAGGUUGCAUUGGAGUUUUCGAAAGACUUAUCUUUCUGCAGGCUCGCCUCUGAGCUUUGUCUCCUUGGAGCCACCUCACUUAGACAGCUUCGGAUGUGGAUGCAGAUUUGAACCAUGUUGCGUCCCCAGGGACUGCUAUGGCUCCCUUUGUUGUUCACCUCUGUCUGUGUCAUGUUAAACUCCAAUGUUCUUCUGUGGAUAACUGCUCUUGCCAUCAAGUUCACCCUCAUUGACAGCCAAGCACAGUAUCCAGUUGUCAACACAAAUUAUGGUAAAAUCCAGGGCCUAAGAACACCAUUACCCAGUGAGAUCUUGGGUCCAGUGGAGCAGUACUUAGGGGUCCCCUAUGCCUCACCCCCAACU